UCUGGUGAAAGUAAAUUGCCACUUUUUUCAGUCCUGCCCUGCACGGCACCGCCAGCGUAGCUGCUGCUGCAAAUAAGCAGACUUUCUACAGCAAUUCAGUGGGUGUGCGGCUAUGCGGCACAUACAGGAGCCUUGCUGUUCGGCCGUGUCCUCAUGCGUCCCUCCCCACUGCACUGCAGAAGAUCAGUUUUUGGAUUGCAGAGCGGCUGACUUGUGAAGCUACGUGUGGGCACCCUAAGUGACCAUGGAGAGGUGGAAUUUGGUUGACUGUGUCAUCAAACAACGUCCCACCUUGAAAUGUGAAUGUGUUGUCAUGCUACAUUUCAGCUGGGCAGAGUGAGGCCUGGUCAGGAUUUGGAUGGAUUCAUGAAACCAAAUCUUAAAUUUUCUAUGACAUGAAGUUAAUUUCACCUAAAGAAGUUGAGGAAAGGCAAAGGCAAAGGCAAAGGCAAAGGCAAAGGGAAGAAGCCCUUUUAUUAUUUUGGUAGAGAAAAGGUGCUUUCUCACUCCCACACGGCACAGAAGGAAUAUUAACAUUGUCCACUUAAAUCAACAAGUCAGCUUUGGGACUGCAUUUGCAACAUGUUAAGCCAAAAUAUAAAUGUUUCUGGAAACCUGAAGAAUGUGAAUGUGAGUUUAGAGUUGGAAGAGCCUUGAAAUUUCACCUGUCUUGGGUGCUACUGAGGUUUCAUUGUUGUAUAAAUACAAAUUCACCUUUGAUUUGACUUAGUGGACUUCCUAAUGAACUAUUCUGUGACUGCUUUGUUUUUAAAUUAACUAUCCUUUCAUUCAAUAAUUGGUCUAUGACUAUAAUUGCUAAUCUUUCAGGCAGAACCUAUUAAAAACAAAUUAACUUGUUCCAAACUCUGGUGAUUUUAUGAUUGUAUAGAUCAAUAUAAAUCACAGUUAAUUAACCUUUUUAUCACUGAGCCAUUUCAACAUGAGCCAUAUUGCAGCAUUGCAGUAAUUGGUCGUAUUCCUACCUCUCCAUACCUGCUCUGU